rnacentral:rRNA from 1 species
UACGAAGGGGGCUAGCGUUGCUCGGAAUUACUGGGCGUAAAGCGCACGUAGGCGGCUCUUUAAGUCGGGGGUGAAAUCCUGGAGCUCAACUCCAGAACUGCCUUCGAUACUGAAGAGCUUGAGUCCGGGAGAGGUGAGUGGAACUGCGAGUGUAGAGGUGAAAUUCGUAGAUAUUCGCAAGACCACCAGUGGCGAAGGCGGCUCACUGGCCCGGUACUGACGCUGAGGUGCGAAAGCGUGGGGAGCAAACAGG